UGGGGAAUCUUAGACAAUGGGCGCAAGCCUGAUCUAGCCAUGCCGCGUGAGCGAUGAAGGCCUUCGGGUUGUAAAGCGCUUUUUGAGAGGAUGAGGAAGGACAGUACUCUUAGAAUAAGCCUCGGCUAACUACGUGCCAGCAGCCGCGGUAAAACGUAGGAGGCGAGCGUUAUCCGGAUUUACUGGGCGUAAAGCGUGUGUAGGCGGUUUGAUAAGUUGGAUGUGAAAGCUCCUGGCUUAACUGGGAGAGGUCGUUCAAAACUAUCAGACUUGAGAGUGGUAGAGGGAGGUGGAAUUCCGCAUGUAGUGGUGAAAUGCGUAGAUAUGCGGAGGAACACCAGUGGCGAAAGCGGCCUCCUGGCCCAUUUCUGACGCUCAGACACGAAAGCUAAGGUAGCAAACG
rnacentral:rRNA from 1 species